UUAACGCGAAGAACCUUACCAGGUCUUGACAUCCCUCUGACCGCUGUAGAGAUAGGCCUUUCCUUCGGGACAGAGGAGACAGGUGGUGCAUGGUUGUCGUCAGCUCGUGUCGUGAGAUGUUGGGUUAAGUCCCGCAACGAGCGCAACCCUUAUGCUUAGUUGCCAGCAGGUCAAGCUGGGCACUCUAAGCAGACUGCCGGUGACAAACCGGAGGAAGGUGGGGAUGACGUCAAAUCAUCAUGCCCCUUAUGACCUGGGCUACACACGUACUACAAUGGCCGGUACAACGGGAAGCGAAGCCGCGAGGUGAAGCCAAUCCUAGAAAAGCCGGUCUCAGUUCGGAUUGCAGGCUGCAACUCGCCUGCAUGAAGUCGGAAUUGCUAGUAAUCGCGGAUCAGCAUGUUACCGGGAGAUAUCUUACGU
rnacentral:rRNA from 1 species